AGCAACCUAAUUCUGGUAAUGCAAACUGGACAGCGCUAGACUUGGCACGAGGCACAAAUGGCAAGAGACUACUAGUACUUGAAUCUCAUUUGACCAGGUCUGAAAGGUCCAUCGUGAAAGGGACUCGGCAACACCAUGAGUGGGACCUGUUGAUGGUGGUGAAUGCUUGUUUGCCUCUCCCAGUGUGACAUUUCUUUAUGUUUGUAAGCUUACCAGGAAUGGAAAAUUGUUCAUUUCUCCCAUUUCAACAGAAAAAGCUGUAUUUCCAACAAAAUCUCAAACAUAUAUAAACACUGCUGUUCAACAACAGGUAUAUAAUGAAGCACCACAGUGCAUUGAUGCAGUCCAGUACAGAGGCCUGGCUGAUAAUAUACCCCUUCAUUGUAUGGCAGUGGCUUGCAAUGUAACCUUCAGAAUGGACACAGAGGACUUGCUACUAUAAUGCUUUGGAUGGUUCAUUCCCAGCAGAUUUUACACCCUUCUGGGACAGCUGAUAUUUAGGCUCUUCAGUUGUUACGUGAUGAACUUGUAAAAUAGAAAGGUUAUAUACAUUUUCAGAGAAGCCACAAACAGCAUCUUCAGUUUAAUUAUAAGAAAGCACAUUUUAAAAAAAUACAGCCGAUCUGUUUACUCCAAAUGGGUUAAACUAUCUUUAAAAAAAAAAGUCUGUAAAAUAUUUUUGCACAACCAUCUACAUCCAUCCAUGAUAAAAAAUAA